AGUGAACGCUGGCGGUAUGCCUAACACAUGCAAGUCGAACGGCAGCACAGUAAGAGCUUGCUCUUACGGUUGGCGAGUGGCGGACGGGUGAGGAAUACAUCGGAAUCUACUUUUUCGUGGGGGAUAACGUAGGGAAACUUACGCUAAUACCGCAUACGACCUACGGGUGAAAGCAGGGGAUCUUCGGACCUUGCGCGAUUGAAUGAGCCGAUGUCGGAUUAGCUAGUUGGCGGGGUAAAGGCCCACCAAGGCGACGAUCCGUAGCUGGUCUGAGAGGAUGAUCAGCCACACUGGAACUGAGACACGGUCCAGACUCCUACGGGAGGCAGCAGUGGGGAAUAUUGGACAAUGGGCGCAAGCCUGAUCCAGCCAUACCGCGUGGGUGAAGAAGGCCUUCGGGUUGUAAAGCCCUUUUGUUGGGAAAGAAAAGCAGCAGGUUAAUACCCAGCUGUUCUGACGGUACCCAAAGAAUAAGCACCGGCUAACUUCGUG
rnacentral:rRNA from 1 species